rnacentral:piRNA from 1 species
UUUUCUCUUUGGAAAGUCUUUCAAAUC